UAGGGAAAUCUUCGGCAAUGGACGAAAGUCUGACCGAGCAACGCCGCGUGAGUGAAGAAGGUUUUCGGAUCGUAAAACUCUGUUGGUAGAGAAGAACGUUGGUGAGAGUGGAAAGCUCAUCAAGUGACGGUAACUACCCAGAAAGGGACGGCUAACUACGUGCCGG
rnacentral:rRNA from 1 species